UCCAUUUCUAGGAAGAGCAGUUUCAUUUCUGCUCUCAGGAUAAGAUAUCUUCCACAUGCAGGAAGUGUUGGUUGGCUUACUGCACUGGAGAGGAUGGCAGGUGAGUCCAUCCUCCAAAGGGGGAUCCUAGAAGCACACCUGAGCCCCCAAACUCCAAAUGCACACCUUACCUCCUACCUCUGUAUUUUUAGGGCAAGACAUGGGCACCCACUGGUCCUUGCUGUAACAUCUCCCCAGAUUUACAGAGAAGUGGAUGGACAUUAUUUUCCCCAGAGCUGUUGAAUCAAAAUAAUCUGAUUUAACAAUGACUUGGAGUGGCCUGUCUUGGUAAGUAUUACCUAAAAGCAAACCUGAACCUGAGAAUGGGGAAAAUAAAGAAAUAACAAAGAAGAUGGACCUGAGCCAAAGAUGAUCUCGCCGUGCAUGAGCUACAUGAGCAGACAGCUUUCCAUCCACAUCAGCAUGCCCGUGUUUGGGCAGGGCAGCUGUAGCCUCAGUGCAGUUCUCUGUUUUAUCCAUUCACUGUCUGCGGCAGCUCAGCCGUACUCACAGCAAGCUGCCAUUCUGCUCCUCACACUAAGGAAGUAUCUUUUGCCUCUGGCUCAUCUGGCACCCAGCUCAGGCAGCAGCAGUGCUCUUGGAGGCUGCCAAGAGGAAGGGACAGGAGGUUUCCUUCAAUCACAGCCUUGUUAGGCUCUUCACUGUUCUGAUCACUGCAGAUCUGGUUUACCUCAAGCAAAGCUGCUGUGAAGAUGAGAGUGAUGAUUUUCACACCAGUGCUUUUCAGCUGUUCACAGGAGGCUGAAGCAGUGAAGACACUAGUUCUGCCCCGUGAAGCUGGUACCCCAGAUUGGCUGUGUUUUGUGCCUGAGAAGGGCAUGGAUGAACACAGGCUUGCCAUGACUUAGCUGCAAGAUACUAACCUAUGACAUUUAAAUGUACACUGGAAAGGAAAGGAUGAAGGUCAAAGUAAGGGAUUGCUUUAGAGAUCUGAUUGCAGCCCUCCUGUGAGGAGGUCAUUGAAAACAAGGAGGCUGUUCUCAGGGUCCAUGGUGGAAGGAUGAAGAAAUAAUGGGCAUCAGUUGAAACAUAAAAGAUUCUGACCAGAUAUAAGGAAAACCUUUUUUAGUGUGACAACAGUCAAGCAGUGGGGCAGUUUGCCCAGGGAGGUUGUGCAAACUCCAUCCUUGGAUAUUUUCAAGUCCCAGCUGGAUAAGAUCUUGAGUAACUUCGCCUAACCUCAGAGCCAACCCUGCUUUAAGGAGAUUGGAGAAGAGACCUCCUGAAAUCCAUUCUAACACAAAUUACCACGUGUUUCUACUGUGCCUAAUUUCUCUGCAGAGUAGCUUAUCUACAAAAUGGUAAACAACAUGCCUUGAAAGUUUGCUUAACUGAUAAAGAAUGGCACAAAACAGAGUGUGGUCUGUGGUGUGUACAUACGUCCUAUUCAACAAUUCUUUUUUUUAGGUCCCUGCUUCAUAUAUACCUUAUAUAGAGGAU
rnacentral:lncRNA from 1 species